rnacentral:rRNA from 1 species
GUCUACAGUCACACCACCCCGAACACGCCUGAUCUCAUCUGAUCUUGGAAUCUAAGCAGGGUUGGGCCUGGCUAGUACUUGGAUGGGAGACUGCCUGGGAAUACUGGGUGCCGCAGGCU